UAAUUGAAGAGUUUGAUCAUGGCUCAGAUUGAACGCUGGCGGCAGGCCUAACACAUGCAAGUCGAGCGGUAACAGGGGGAGCUUGCUUC
rnacentral:rRNA from 2 species